GUUGAAACACCGAUUCCCGUAUGAUCACCGAAGUUAAGCAACAUCGAACUUGAUCAGUACUUCGAUGGGUGACU